rnacentral:lncRNA from 1 species
CACGCGAAACCAGAAUUCCUUCCGGAGAGCAAAUCCGUACAGAAGGUUGUUGAGGGAAGGGGAGAACCGGGGAAGGGGGGGCCCGGGAAGGAGGAGUUGGGGAACACAGGGACAGAUGGCCCUCUCCGUCCGGAUCUGCUAAGCCACCCCAACCAGCCCCCGUCCCUCCCCCACCCCGCCCCGCAGAGAGAUUGAUCAAUAAAUAAAAUAAUAAAUUAAUCAAUAAAUAAAAUAGAAACAGCUCCCCCCCCCUCAGUCCCCCCUAGAACCACCCCCCAUUGGGCACGGCCCCCUGAGCCCCAUCCCUGCGGGGCAAGGCCGGGUUUGUUGUAUCUCUCCCCUCCCUACAUACUCCUUGGGCCCUAUUUACAGAUUCACAGUUGGGGGGCAGGGAAGGGGGGUGGAGGGGGCUCCCCUCCUUCCCCGGCCCCCUGGGGUCAGGGCAGAGGAGUCCCGUUGGUGGCCAGGAGCUUCUUG